rnacentral:rRNA from 1 species
UAGAGUUUUGAUCCUGGCUCAGAUUGAACGCUGGCGGCAGGCUUAACACAUGCAAGUCGAGCGGAGUGAUGGUGCUUGCACUAUCACUUAGCGGCGGACGGGUGAGUAAUGCUUAGGAAUCUGCCUAUUAGUGGGGGACAACAUUUCGAAAGGAAUGCUAAUACCGCAUACGUCCUACGGGAGAAAGCAGGGGAUCUUCGGACCUUGCGCUAAUAGAUGAGCCUAAGUCGGAUUAGCUAGUUGGUGGGGUAAAGGCCUACCAAGGCGACGAUCUGUAGCGGGUCUGAGAGGAUGAUCCGCCACACUGGGACUGAGACACGGCCCAGACUCCUACGGGAGGCAGCAGUGGGGAAUAUUGGACAAUGGGCGCAAGCCUGAUCCAGCCAUGCCGCGUGUGUGAAGAAGGCCUUAUGGUUGUAAAGCACUUUAAGCGAGGAGGAGGCUACUGAAGUUAAUACCUUCAGAUAGUGGACGUUACUCGCAGAAUAAGCACCGGCUAACUCUGUGCCAGCAGCCGCGGUAAUACAGAGGGUGCAAGCGUUAAUCGGAUUUACUGGGCGUAAAGCGCGCGUAGGCGGCUAAUUAAGUCAAAUGUGAAAUCCCCGAGCUUAACUUGGGAAUUGCAUUCGAUACUGGUUAGCUAGAGUGUGGGAGAGGAUGGUAGAAUUCCAGGUGUAGCGGUGAAAUGCGUAGAGAUCGGAGGAAUACCGAUGGCGAAGGCAGCCAUCGGCCUAACACGACGCGAGGGCGAAAGCAGGAGCACCUA